UACGAAGGGGGCUAGCGUUGCUCGGAAUGACUGGGCGUAAAGGGCGCGUAGGCGGUUUGGUUCGUUGGGCGUGAAAUUCCUGGGCUCAACCUGGGGACUGCGUUUAAUACAGCCAGACUUGAGUGUGGAAGAGGGUCGUGGAAUUCCCAGUGUAGAGGUGAAAUUCGUAGAUAUUGGGAAGAACACCGGUGGCGAAGGCGGCGACCUGGUCCAUUACUGACGCUGAGGCGCGAAAGCGUGGGGAGCAAACAGG
rnacentral:rRNA from 1 species